rnacentral:lncRNA from 1 species
AGGGAGGGCGGGUGGAGGGGUCGGGAGGAACGGGGGGCGGGAAAGAUCCGCCACCGGGUUGAAUCCUCCGGGCGGACUGCGCGGACCUGACCCAUUUACCUCUUAACGGUUUCACGCCCUCUUGUACUCUCUCUUCAAAGUUCUUUUCAACUUUCCCUUACGGUACUUGUUGACUAUCGGUCUCGUGCCGGUAUUUAGCCUUAAAUGGAGUUUACCACCCGCUUUGGGCUGCAUUCCCAAGCAACCCGACUCCUGGAAGACCCGGGCCA